GAUGAACGCUAGCUACAGGCUUAACACAUGCAAGUCGAGGGGAAACGCCAUCGAAAGCUUGCUUUUGAUGGGCGUCGACCGGCGCACGGGUGAGUAACGCGUAUCCAACCUGCCCAUCACUUGGGAAUAACCUUGCGAAAGUAAGACUAAUACCCAAUGAUAUCCCACGAAGGCAUCGGAAUGGGAUUAAAGAUUUAUCGGUGAUGGAUGGGGAUGCGUCUGAUUAGCUUGUUGGCGGGGUAACGGCCCACCAAGGCAACGAUCAGUAGGGGUUCUGAGAGGAAGGUCCCCCACAUUGGAACUGAGACACGGUCCAAACUCCUACGGGAGGCAGCAGUGAGGAAUAUUGGUCAAUGGGCGAGAGCCUGAACCAGCCAAGUAGCGUGCAGGAAGACGGCCCUAUGGGUGGUAAACUGCUUUUAUAAGGGAAUAAAGUGGGUCACGUGUGACUUUUUGCAUGUACCUUAUGAAUAAGGACCGGCUAAUUCCGUG
rnacentral:rRNA from 1 species